UAUAUAAGGCGGUCUUUCCUGUAAGACCGCCUUGUUGUCACCAAGCUGCCACGUAUGAGCUGAGUCAGCGUUUUAUCUCCCAAAAAAUAUAUAUACAUAUUUUGCAUUUCUUUUUCAUUUUUAUUUUCAUAACCCUAAUUCUCUCUCCUCCAAAUUUCUCUGACCCCUUCUCUCUCCUCCAAACCUCUCUGAUCCUCUCUCUCCUCCAAACCUCUCGGCCAACGCCGGUGAUAACCUGGAGAAUCGAGGUCGACGGCGGAGGAUACCGGCGACGCGGUUAGGGCGGAGUUUUGUUGAUUUUGCAGAUUAAUUUACCGGAAAGAUGAGAAUGUGGUGGCCGACGAGCAGCGGCGAAGGGAGGAAGGAGAUCGUGCGAUGUUCAGGAAGAGGAGAGGAGAGACCGAGGAGGUUGCGCGAUGAGUCGUCGUGGCUGCUGCUGCUCCUCGUCGGACAACCUAGUUAGGAAAUUGCAUGAGGAAGAUGAGGUGUUCCUUAUGAGGAGGAGGCGGAUUUGCCGCUGGUUGUUGGUGGUGGUGGUUGCCGCUGCCGCAAUUAGAGGAAGGAGACGUAGCGCCUGAUACUGAAGUUGCUCAGUCACGCGGUGGCUACUAGGCGAACGAAGCGAAGCUGCUAACCUCGCUAGGGUUUCGUAGCUGGAAGGAAGCGUUACUUGUUGGUCGAUUAUGCUGUUGUUGGUGUUUUAAUUUCGUUUUAGUUAAGAAUUGUAAUGUUUUAGUUAUGGUUUUUCUGUAUUUAGUUAAGAAAUAAAUGGUUUAGUUGAUUUUCUUAAGUGAAUAAUUGUUUAGUUAAAAUUCAUAUGAGUUUAGUCAACAUUUU